AUAUGAAAGAAAAUGCUAAGGAAGAGACAUGAUCAAACAGUGUAUAUUAUAAAAAAAAGAUCAAUCAUUCCUUUGCAUUAAAGAUACAACGCGAGCCCUUUCUCCCUCCUUUGACUCUCCAGCCCAAACCACAAAAUCUUGAGAUGCCCAUGGGUGAAUCGGUUAGUCUCCUUCGGAGUCUUGCACCAAGAUUCGAUCUUCCGGAUCAGAUUCCCCAACAGAAGUUUUUGCGCAUUUCACUAUCACUUUUGGCUCAUCUUCUCUGAACCUACCUAACACAGUACCA
rnacentral:lncRNA from 1 species